AACGAACGCUGGCGGCAUGCCUAACACAUGCAAGUCGAACGAAGCCUUCGGGCUUAGUGGCGCACGGGUGCGUAACGCGUGGGAAUCUGCCCUUGGGUUCGGAAUAACAGUUAGAAAUGACUGCUAAUACCGGAUGAUGUCUUCGGACCAAAGAUUUAUCGCCCAAGGAUGAGCCCGCGUAGGAUUAGGUAGUUGGUGGAGUAAUGGCCCACCAAGCCGACGAUCCUUAGCUGGUCUGAGAGGAUGAUCAGCCACACUGGGACUGAGACACGGCCAGACUCCUACGGGAGGCAGCA
rnacentral:rRNA from 1 species